GAUGAACGCUAGCGGCAGGCCUAACACAUGCAAGUCGAGGGGUAGAGUCAGCUUGCUGGCUCGAGACCGGCGCACGGGUGCGUAACGCGUAUGCAACCUGCCUCUCACCGGGGAAUAGCCCAGAGAAAUUUGGAUUAACGCCCCAUGGUAUCCGGGAAGGGCAUCCUUCCCCUAUUAAAGGCAACGGUGAGAGAUGGGCACGCGUCCCAUUAGCUAGUUGGUAAGGUAACGGCUUACCAAGGCGACGAUGGGUAGGGGUCCUGAGAGGGGGAGCCCCCACACUGGUCCUAAGACACGGACCAGACUCCUACGGGAGGCGGCAGUGAGGAAUAUGGGCCAAUGGGCGCAAGCCUGAACCAGCCAUGCCGCGUGCAGGACGACGGCCCUAUGGGUUGUAAACUGCUUUUGUACGGGAAGAAACACCGGCUCGUGAGCCGGCUUGACGGUACCGUAAGAAUAAGGAUCGGCUAACUCCGUGCCAGCCGCCGCCGUAAAAC
rnacentral:rRNA from 1 species